UAAUCAUUUCCUCAUAAACAUUCUUUUCCUGCCAAACCUACUUUCCCAGAAAAUCUUCAAAACUUUUCCAGGAAAAUCAUGGUGCUCAUGGCAGGACGCUCCCUCACUUCCUUUGUCAACCCAACACCAACCCAAUUCUCUCUUCUUUUUCUUCUCAAUCCAAAGUUCUUAACUUGCCACACCCCUUUUUCUCCUCUCACUCCUCUUCCUUCACCUAAA
rnacentral:lncRNA from 1 species